GUCGCGGUCCUCUUCUCGGCGUCACUCACGUUCGUUCUCUCCGAGCUCACUCUCUCUCACCGUCGCGAACGUCGGUCACCUCGCCGGAUCGGUCUCUGCUCGUGAACGCCGGUCACCUACCUUCCUCGCCGUCUCUCCGGAUUGGAUUGGAUCAGGCUUGCAUUCUUUCUUGAACCUAGGUUACUGGCCUUCCAAGUAAAGCUUUUGAUCCUUUGGAGAUUCUUGUUUUGAAUCUUCCUCCUUGGCUUCCUGAUAGUAAGUCAGGAACUGAUGGGGAAGAAAAUCAGAAGAAAGAACCGAGCUUCUGCUAAGGAGAAGGCAGUUGCUAUGCAGUCUCCGAAGAAAGCUUUAGAGUCUCCCAACCCAACUGUUGAGUCUGUUGAUGAGGGGAUCUCUACUGCAAAAGAAACAAGUUCUUGUCCUCAUCUUGUAAAGGGUAUUAAUUUAAAUACACUAUCUAGCAAGAUUGAAUCUUCUGGAUCAGUAAGGUGUGAAGAUUGCAGAGAAGGUGCUGCUGAUAGGAGAGGUGGAAAAGGAAAAGGGAAAGGUAAUAAACAAGGGAAGAAGAAAAGUGGCACACCAGUAGAUUCAAAAUCUGAGUCCAAGGCUAUAUGGGUUUGUUUGGAGUGUGGUCAAUAUACCUGUGGAGGUGUGGGGCUACCAACAACCCCUCAUUGCCAUGUUGUCAGGCAUGUGAGGCAACAUCGGCAUCCCUUGGUGGUUCAUUAUGAAAAGCCUCAGUUGUGUUGGUGUUUUCAGUGCAAUAUGCUUAUUCAAGUUGAUAAAAUAGAAGAGAAUGAAGAAACAGGCCGUGUUCUAUCUGAUGUAGUGAAAUUGUUGAAAGGGAGAUCAUCGCAGAAAUCAUCAGCGGAUAUUAAGGACGUUGGUAUUGAUGGCAGUGUUACUUCAGAAAUUAAAUCAGGAGUGAUUGUCAGAAAUGAUUUAUAUGGACAUGGUGGCUAUGUAGUUCGAGGCAUGAUUAAUCUUGGGAAUACUUGUUUCUUCAAUUCCAUCAUGCAAAAUUUGCUAGCUAUGGAUAGAUUGCGGGACAACUUUCUGAAUUUGGAUUCUCCUUUUGGACCAUUGGUUAGUUCCUUGAAGAAACUGUUCACUGAAACAAAUCCAGAAUCAGGAUUGAAAACCACUAUAAAUCCUAGAUCAUUUUUUGGUUGUGUGUGCUCCAAGUCUCCCCAAUUUCGAGGAUAUCAGCAGCAUGACAGUCAUGAAUUGCUCCGUUGUUUGUUGGAUGGGUUGAGUACUGAAGAGCAAGCUGCAAGGAAACAAAAUGGUUCGCCCAAGAGAGAUGGCACCCCUGCAAAUACUUUAGUUGAUGAUUUAUUUGGGGGUCAGAUAUCUAGUACUGUACGGUGCAUUGAAUGUGGAAAUUCCUCAACUGUUUACGAGCCUUUUUUAGAUCUUUCACUGCCAGUUCCAACUAAGAAACCCCCUCCUCGGAAAGCACAACAAGCAAAUCGAGCCAAAAAGGCAAAACUUCCACCAAAAAAAGGUGGAAAGACCCGAGUCAAAGUUAACAGGGAUGAUGAUCCAAUAGCUGGUCAAAGUAUAUCAAACCAAUCAUCUGUCCAUGAGUCAACCUCCCCUGCUCAGUCCAAUGUGUCGGUUGCGGGUGAGGUGGCAGCCCCUUCUGAUUGUGGUGAUUCUACAGUAUUGGUUUCAAAGGAAAUAAGCAAUGUUGCUAAAGAGCUGUCUUCACCUAAUUUGGUUGCUGUUGGAGAGUCUCAAGAUAUGCAAGUGCUUGACAAUGAUGCAAAUAAGAUGUCAGCUUCAUCAGAUGAUCUUGCAUGGUUGGAUUAUGUGGAAGCUGACAAUGUCACCGAGGAAUGUGAGUUUCUUUCACCGAAAGAGGGCGAUCAGGAUACUGAUAGCAAGAAUGAACCUUUAAAUGAAUUGCCGGUAGGGGUUAGCUGUGAACCUUAUGGUCCAGAGUGUUCCCCUAAGGAGGAUCAAGACCAAAGACCGUAUUCUUCAACAAAUGGGUGGGAAGACGAGGUUCCACUACAAGUUCAAGGUUCAGAAGUGCUGUUACUUCCUUAUAAAGAGGAAAGUUCCUCUGCUUGUGAGAUUAUUGGAAGGGAUGGUGAGGCUUCCUGUUCGAAUUUGGGCCAUGGUCAAGAAGAAUUAACCUUCGAAGGCUUUGGUGAUUUAUUCAAUGAACCUGAAGUUUUUGCUGGUCCUGCUCCUAGGCCUUCAUCUAAUGAGGUUACGGAAGCUGUUUUUAACAGCGAGUCUGAUCCAGAUGAAGUCGAUGAUACAGAUUCUCCGGUUUCGGUAGAGAGUUGCUUGGCACAUUUUAUAAAACCUGAGCUUCUCUCAGAUGAAAAUGGUUGGAACUGUGAGAACUGUUCGAAAAUUGUCCAACGUAAAAAAGUUGAAGCAAAAAAGAAGGCAAAUUCUGUAUUGGAUGGAAUUGAGAUUGGAUGUCGUGUUGAACCAUUGGAUGCUGCUGACUCUUUUUCUGUUGAAGUCAAAAGCCUUGAUAAUGGGAAUAUUACAGAUACCAAAAAUACAGAAAGUUCAGUUUUACAUAUUAAUCAUGGAACAGUGCUUGAAAAUGGUCAAUCAAAUGGAUUGAGUUCAAAUGUUGAUGAAAAGGAUCACAGAACUUUGAAGAUGAAAGAUACACUUAAUGAGGAACUUCAGUCUUCGGGAUGUCAUAAUUCUUCGAAUGCAGAAAGUUGUAAUCAUUCAGCUGCUGAUUCUAGUGUUAUCGUGGAUAACACUGAAAAUGUUGAAAGCAGAGAUCCUCAGAUGUCAGGUCAGGAUGACGAUGACUCAGAAGAAUGCAGUGAGGAAGAGGCUGACGUGAAAAGUUUGAAGGUGAAAAGGGAUGCUACUAAGAGGGUCCUCAUUCAUAAAGCUCCGCCUGUCUUGACAAUUCAUUUGAAGAGAUUCAGCCAAGAUGCCCGAGGUCGCUUAAGCAAGUUAAAUGGACAUGUCAAUUUCAGAGAAAGAAUGGAUCUCAGACCAUAUGUGGAUCCUAGAUUCGUAGCUGAAGAGAAUUAUGAAUACCAUUUGGUUGGUGUAGUGGAGCACUCGGGAUCUAUGAGAGGGGGUCACUAUGUUGCAUAUGUGAGAGGGGGCCAGAGGAACAGAGGGAAGGCUGAUAACAAUGAGAAUGAGAGUUCCACUUGGUAUCAUGCCAGUGAUGCAUAUGUACGUGAAGUGUCUCUCGAUGAAGUUCUUCGAUGCGAGGCAUACAUUUUGUUCUAUGAAAAAAAUUGAGGGACACCAUCUACUUUCCAGGCUUAUUCCUUUGGAUAAAAUGAUACAUGGCAAGUGAUAUUAUGCCUGGAGCCACAUACAUGGUUCCAAAUGAAACUUCACAUAAACCAGAAAUUUGGUUCUCUUUGGACCAUACGAGACCAUACGAGUGUAGAAACCUAAACUGGAUACGGAUGGUUUUGGCUUAACUCUGCCGCCACCGCCACCUUUGAUGGCGACAACAAUGUUUGGAUCCAUCCGCGUCUUCCUCCUCCACGCUACUGCUUAAGGCACCACCUGUUGCAAAGCCAAAGAGGGGUUGUCAGCAGUGGUUUUGCGCAAACACUGAUCCUCCUUGUGAGAGGGAAAGAAGAAACCCUGUUGCAUCUGUGCUGUUGUAUCUACUGCAUGCAUCCGCACCAAGGGUUUGAGAUGUCAUCCAUGCCUGAUUUUUGGUUUGUGUUGCAUCAGUUUGUUGGUGAAGGAUUUGUUGGGGGCUUGAUCGUUUUGCACCAACGUUCCUGCACAAACAUACCAAUUACUAGAUGAUAAGUAUAUAAAUCCAACAGUUAUAUUAAGUAAUAAUAUUUGCUCUUUUAUAAUUUCA